GACGAACGCUGGCGGCGUGCCUAACACAUGCAAGUCGAACGGAGUGCACGGAGCGGAACCUUUAGGGGUGAAGCACCGUGUUACUUAGUGGCGCACGGGUGAGUAACACGUAGGUAACCUGCCCAUGGGACGGGGACAACCCCGCGAAAGCGGGACUAAUACCGGAUAAGACCAUGUAAUGAGAAUUAUGUGGGAAAAGGGAGCAAUCCGCCUGUGGAUGGGCCUGCGAUCUAUCAGGUAGUUGGCAGGGUAACGGCCUACCAAGCCGAAGACGGAUAGCCGGUCUGAGAGGACGGUCGGUCACACUGGGACUGAGACACGGCCCAGACUCCUACGGGAGGCAGCAGUGGGGAAUUUUGCGCAAUGGGGGAAACCCUGACGCAGCGACGCCGCGUGAAGGAAGAAGGCCUUCGGGUUGUAAACUUCUUUUGUAGGGGAAAAGAGAGGAUGGUACCCUACGAAUAAGCCACGGCUAACUCUGUG
rnacentral:rRNA from 1 species